CAUAGUCAUUGGUUUUUAUUAAUGAUACCGUCUGCUCAAUGAUUUGUUUAAAUAGCCGCAGUACCUUGACUGUGCAAAGGUAGCAUAAUCAAUUGGCCUUUAAAUGCGGUCGAGAAUGAAUGACUGCCUGGGGGGUUGCUGUCUUGGGUCGAUUAUUAAAAAUUACUUAGGGAGUGCAAAGUCUCCCGUACACACAUUAGACGAGAAGACCCUAGAAAUUUAUAUAUUUAUUUUGUUGGGGCGACAGAGUAACAACAAACUUACUCGUAAAUACGCACUUUGUUAAUGGUACAAGCAAAUUACUCUAGGGAUAACAGCAUAAUUUUGGGAAAGAUUGUGACCUCGAUGUUGGAUUAGGAAUAGGAGGGCUUAGCAAGUGCUCCUUGUAGUUCUGUUCGAACUGUGGCUCCUAC
rnacentral:rRNA from 1 species